GGUGGAAUGAAGAUUGGCAGGGGAAACCGAAGUACUCUGAGAAAAUCUUCCACGUUGACCACCACAUACCAGACCCGGGAUCGAACCCGGGCCGCCGCGGUGGGAAGCCAGCGACGAACCGCUUGAGCUAUGGCGCGGCCAUCUUGUAGUUUAAUGACACUUAAAAUACGAUAGAUGUGUGGUGUUGAGUAUAAAUUAUUUUAUAAGUUGAAUAAUUUUGGUGUUUCUACAAAAUUAUUAUGAGCCGCAUAAGAAAUUCCCGAGAGAUUGAUCAUCACUCUUAUUGAUAUCCAAAAAUGGCAGUUCGCUCAGUGGUUAAUGGUUAUGACACUCAAGUUUACCUCAGUGACAGUUGCGAAACAAGUGAGGUAAGGAGUGUUUGUUGUCAUAAAUUUAAAACAGAACUCAGAUCAGUGCAAAAAAUUAUUGAACUGCUACAAGAAGAGAUAAACACGUUCAAUCGUACCCGCCAGAAGAGAUACUGUCCCACAUCAAGAUUGAGCCCAAUGACAGCAAACUGGACCUACAGAUAGCCCUCAAGAAAGCACGGAGACUGAAGCUGCAGGAGGCUGUUUACAGAAUCAAAAAAACAGUGUAGAAAAGGUGGCAGAGUCAGUACUGGGGAGAAACUCAGAAGGGAACACGGAAGGUGGUUCCAUUGUGGUGAAUGCUACAGCACAAUUCUGCCGUACGUUGUGUGACAUCCCAUUUGUGGUCUGGCUGGCAACAGGGAUGAGGACGCUCAGGAACUGCUUGACUUUGAGAGGGAAAUGAUUGAGGAGAAAAAACCUCAGGAAGAAGAAGGCAAACGUGGAGCUUGGAAUGAAGUUGAGAUUGAGAUGAUUAGAAGUUUGGGUAUCGUGAGCGCUACAGUGGUCUGACCUCAGACUUCAAAGGAAAGGAGGGCUACAAACCAAACGUUAAACUCGACUACACAGAUGAUGAUGGCCAUGUACUUAAUGCAAAGGAUGC